UGGACAGAUUAUUGUAUUCGACUUUAUUCACGACGUGAAACAGGGGAUUACACUAUUUUUAAAUGGAAAGUGAAUCAAUUAACAUAAUAGACUCCU
rnacentral:pre_miRNA from 1 species